rnacentral:rRNA from 1 species
AGAGUUUGAUCAUGGCUCAGAACGAACGCUGACGGCGCGUCUUAAGCAUGCAAGUCGAACGGUAAGGGAGAGCUUGCUCUCCCCUAGAGUGGCGGACUGGUGAGUUACGCGUGGGUGACCUGCCCUGAAGAUGGGGAUAGCUAGUAGAAAUAUUAGAUAAUACCGAAUAAGCUCAUUUACAUAAAGGUAGAUGAGGAAAGGAGCUACGGCUCCGCUUUAGGAUGGGCCCGCGUCCCAUUAGCUGGUUGGUGAGGUAAAGGCUCACCAAGGCAACGAUGGGUAUCCGGCCUGAGAGGGUGAACGGACACAUUGGGACUGAGAUACGGCCCAAACUCCUACGGGAGGCAGCAGUGGGGAAUCUUCCGCAAUGGGCGAAAGCCUGACGGAGCAACGCCGCGUGAGUGAUGACGGCCUUCGGGUUGUAAAACUCUGUGAUCCGGGACGAAAAGGCAGAGUGCGAAGAACAAACUGCAUUGACGGUACCGRAAAAGAAAGCCCCGGCUAACUACGUGCCAGCAGCCGCGGU